AUGGGUUACUACCUGAACAGACAUGUGUCGACUGUAAUGUCACCUAGUAUAAGGUGCGACCACCGCCCAUAUAAGGGGGGAAAAGUCCGAUUCGACAAGGGUAGAAUGCCUAGUCGAAGGUCUAGUACAGUAGGUAGUAGGCGUGUUCGUUUUGGCUCCCGAGCGAGAACGAGAAAGAGGCGCUGCACCAUUCUUGCUGCUAUGUACGUGAACCUUGACUUGAGAGAUUCAUCCAAUGGAACCCGCACUCAAAGGAGGACCACAAGCUCGGGGCUCGACGAAACAUAAAAUAUAAGCAUUAAGAAACUGGGGUUAGCAGUGAAAGAAAGAGCCCGGCAUUCAUAUGAAUAGCUUAGUCUACUAAAAUCAAAGAGGGACCAGCCUCAUCGUGGUAAUUAUCGUUCACCUCUAAUGUGACACGUUNCCUCCCANUUAUAUGAUCCACGGGAUCANUCGGCUAGAGAGCGNGGCUAUUCUUCUUCCGGGGAGGGAAAGUCGUCCCCUCCACUGAUCGAACCCUCAGUUCGGGGGUCUUAGUCAACAUGUUUUGAGGCUCCAGUCUUCGGCGCAUCACCAUUACUUGAAUUAGAAAGGCGAACAUCUAGGCAAGGGAAAGCGCAGUGCGCCUGGUGCAAAUGGCUUUUUUCAUUAUAUACCAAUCAGAAUGGAGGACCCUACCUACGAACAUUAUU
rnacentral:lncRNA from 1 species